UACGUAGGUGGCAAGCGUUGUCCGGAUUUACUGGGCGUAAAGCGCCCGCAGGCGGCUUGUUAAGUUCAAGGUGAAAUCUCCCGGCUCAACUGGGAGGGUGCCUCGAAAACUGGCAGGCUUGAGGUGAGGAGAGGGAUGCGGAAUUCCAGGUGUAGCGGUGAAAUGCGUAGAUAUUUGGAGGAACACCAGUGGCGAAGGCGGCAUCCUGGCCUUAUCCUGACGCUCAGGGGCGAAAGCGUGGGGAGCAAACCGG
rnacentral:rRNA from 1 species